rnacentral:lncRNA from 1 species
GUUUUGAGGAAAGUAAUCAAUGUUGCUUUUUAACAUAUUAAUGGUUUGGUUCUGUUAGGGUAAGAACGAUGGAAGACCAGGGCGGGAUGCAGUUAACAGUCUUUAAUGAAUAAAGUAAAUUGUCUUCACUGAAUAAUUAGAACACAAAUCACAGGCAUUAAUCAGAGCCAGAACAGAAACUGCCAGACGACUGGAUCUAAGAAAAUCUGCAUAAACUUCCACGAGGACAGAGGCAGGGACCCCGAGAUGCAUUCAGCCAGUCAGAAAUAGUGAAGACAGCAGACAGGGUGAACAGCCAAGGGCGGGCGCUGAACAGGUACUCUGCAAACAGGCACAGCUGGAUAAUACACAGUCCAAUGGCAGUAUAACUCACAGCAGAAAUUAUGAUUUCACUUUCCACGGACAAGACAGGACAGGACUAGAGAACAGACGUUUCUCACGAGAGGUCAUUGAAUAAUCCGACAGCAAGACAGAGGGAAUUAAGAAGCAGUAGACAAUGACGACAGCAGACAGGGUGAACAGCCAAGGGCGGGCGCUGAACAGGUACUCUGCAAACAGGCACAGCUGGAUAAUACACAGUCCAAUGGCAGUAUAACUCACAACAGAAAUUAUGAUUUCACUUUCCACGGACAAGACAGGACAGGACUAGAGAACAGACGUUUCUCACGAGAGGUCAUUGAAUAAUCCGACAACAAGACGGGGCUAGGAAGAGGGAAUAAGAAGCAGAGACAAUCAAGAGGAAAAAGGGGACAUGUGAGGAGAAGGGAACGAAAGGGGAAACAGCUGAAAGAGAUAAUGAGCGGAGGAGUGGAUGUGUGUGCGUGAUUGUGUAAAAGAGUGUGCGAGUGAAUGUGUGACCACAAGAGGGAGACAGAGAAAGAGGAGAAGAAACCAGGAUCAUGACAGGGACAUGUUUAUCAAUGUUUGCUCUGAAAGAGUUCAGUAAUUUACAGGAGUGGCAACCACAAUCUACAGGUGAAUUAACUCCCGAACAACUCAGGUAGUAACAUCUACAUUUACAGUAAUUCUAUGCAGUGUGUGUAUAUAAUAUUUAAAAUGAAUAACUAGUUGUUAAUGAUGUAUAUAAAUGUGUAUUCGGGUUGUCUUUUCUGUAUGUGCGGAGCAAGAAAUUACAGGCAACAUUUUGACUCAUUAGUGUUGUCUGAUCUUGCUUGAGGAAAAAAAAAAAAACAGGCCAAUGAUAAACUCAUAUCCAAACACUUUAUCUUGGAAAUAAAUCACAUAGCAGAACAAUGCUACCUGUACCUGCCUACUUUAUUAACUCCAUAUCUCCUCAAAGAUGCUUAAUAAUCUU